UACGUAGGGGGCAAGCGUUGUCCGGAUUUACUGGGCGUAAAGAGCGCGUAGGCGGAAGCUUAAGUGUGGUUUGAAAGCCCCCGGCUCAACCGGGGAAUGUGAUUGCAAACUGGGCUUCUUGAGGGGGAUAGAGGAGAGUGGAAUUCCUGGUGUAGCGGUGAAAUGCGUAGAGAUCAGGAGGAACACCCGUGGCGAAGGCGGCUCUCUGGGUCCGCCCUGACUCUGAGGUGCGAAAGCGUGGGGAGCAAACGGG
rnacentral:rRNA from 1 species